UGCUGGAUCUAGUUAUUUAUGAAUUAAAUAAGAAACAAAAUAUGUUUUAACAAACAAACAAAUUCCAAAUACUAAAACGUUGCAAAGUAAUAUUGAAACAAAAACAAUAAUAUAUCCUAUUAAUAUUUUUCAUAUUUUAUUUAGUAAUUUUAGAUCAUUAUAUACUUUGUGUAUGCUUAACAUAACUAUUAUUAUGAUUAUUACGAUUAUUAUGAUUAUUAUUAUUAUUAUGUCAGUCGCGGAUGUUUUGCACUUGUGGCUAUUUUGCAUUGUAGUAAAGCGGCGCGCUCUGAUUGGCGCAGGCGCUGAUUUAUGCUAAUGAGGUAGUUGGAGUUCUUUAGGGCGCGCGGGCGCCGCCCUUCAUUCAAGCACGCGGUGCGGGAGAGACGCAGCUCUUCGCGCGCUUCUGUCUUUCUCUCGUUCUGUCACACACGCGCAAAUACUCUGUGUCUGGCUUUCACGCGCUCUUUCUUUCCUCUUGGCUGCAUCGUUUCUGCGCCUUUAUUUCAUUUCUCCUUCAGAUCAACGCUCGCGGAUGGUUUUUGGUUUGGCGUUGCAGGACUCCAGCGUGUUGUGGAAUGAAGUGUUGAUGCUGUUUCCAGGGUUGAGUGUCUCUGUAGAGUCAAAGUGCUUACAGUGCAGGUAGUUCAGUACGGUGUCUACUGCAGUGGAGGCACUUCAAGCUCUACACACUCGGUGCUCCUCUGGUUUAACUGGAAUCUUCACCCAUGAUGCCUGUUAUGGUGAGUUGGCACAAAAUCUCUCUGAAAUAUUAGUGUAAUAUGUUCUGACAGUUUAACACAAAAAUGUUAGAGUAAGGCUAAUUAGCUGAACUAACUGAAAACAACAAAGUGGAAAUAACACCAACAGACCUAAAAAAAAAAAAAAAAAAAAAAAAAAAAAAAAAAAAAAAAUCGAUGUGCGUGCAUCUUUUUUUUUUUUUUUUUUAAUAGUUUAAGGUUAGCGCAAAAUGUCAGCAACACAAGCUGCUUCCUGUCAGUUUGUAGUUUUUUUUUUUAAAUAAAUAAAGUAUUACAAAAUUUAAGCAAUGCGUAUUGCAACACUCACAAUGUUGCAUAAUUUAUGAUGUCAAUAAAUCAUCCUUAUUAAUCAGCCCUAAUUAUCUUUUUUUCAGGAGGUUAAGGCCAUUUGAUUAUUUCUAAAUGUUGAGUAAUGUGUAAGAAUAAUGCUUUGGUGUAAAAUGUAUACAAUCAUGUUUUUUUUUUAAAACUUUUUAUACAUUUUACUUUUAGAACCAUUCAAUUGUAUUUAGAGUAAAUAAAUAAAACGUUUAUUCAGCUAGCACGUUCAGGAUAAUCUCCCAUCACGCUGCUUUACCACACAUGAGAACCAUCGGCUUGUUUAGUGUUUUAAAGUUUCAGAAAAUGAAUCCUGGUUAAAUAGCAAAUAUUUUUCAAGGAUAAUUUGAGUUAAAUGCCAUGGUGUCGAUGUUUUUGCAAGUAGCCGCUUGAUAUUUCAACUCUAUUUACAGCACUUCUGUUAAGAUUCUUGAAAAACUGCUUAAUUUCAUUAACUGCUUCUUUUGCUAAGGUGCAUCUAGUGCAGAUAGUGAAUUGGAACAGCACCUACUGCCCUAAGUGCUCCUUCUGGCAUGAGACAGCCGGAAUAUUCUUCCGUCUCGGUGCUGAACCCCGUCCUGAUGUGUUUUUGAUAUUCUAGCGCGGCCCUCUGUCAGUUUUGCAUCGUUGCACCACAAGAAAAACAGAGUUGUGCAAAUCUAUGCAAAACUGACAGCGGCCUUGCAGACUGCCGUCACUUCCAGUGUACGUCCCCCGUGGUGUUCGCGGCAGUAUUAAAGUGCUUAUAGUGCAGGUAGUCUGGUCUUUAACGCUUCUACUGCAUUGUGAGCACUUGAAGUACUUCCAGGCGGAAAAGGCGACGCGUUGCAGAGGUUCCCUUCAUGCUGCACGGCUCUGGUUAGUUUUGCUGGUUUGCAUUCAGCGUUCGUUCAGAAUUCGGCUGUGCAAAUCCAUGCAAAACUGACUGUAGCUGUGAAUAAAAGUGACGGACUUGGGUGUUUUCCCGGUUUCCCUUGUCUUUUGUAUUUUCCUAAAUUCUCUUUAAAGCAUGAGUUUCCUUUCUCUCGAUUCUUUAUUUCCCUAUUUUAUAGAUAUAGAUAGAUAUAGAUAUAUAGAUUGCACGAGAGCUUGAACAAAAUUGUAUCUUACUAUAUACUUGAAUGUAAAUUUGGAGAUUUCUGUUUAAGGGUUUUGUAUAAAAUUCCCCCUGAUUUUUCUUCAGAAUUUUCUCUAAAUCUCCUCUCCCGUUUCUCGGCCGGUCGGGAUCAGCCGCAAUGUUUUAUUUGAAUGAGAUAUUGCACUUGUCCCGGCCUGUCGAGAGUGCUGGGUUGGUCACCGCGUGCACUUCGCACUCCUGAUGCAGGCGUUAUUUACACAGAUGGAAGGGAAAGUGUUUUUCUAUUGUUGGUGUCACUGCUACAAUUGUGUCACUGAGAUCUCAAACUCUGGGCUGAAUUCUGUAACAGUAUGAUAACGUGUUCUCCGCGUGUGGUCGUAUGAUGAUUAGCUAACAAUAGACGUGUGAUUUAGGUAAAUUCCUGCGGGCUCCCAUAACCAGGAACAUUUCUAAAAGUGAGUAUAGCGUGUUUUGUUUGCAUUUCACUACUGUCUUAAGAUUAAUCCCUUUGCUAGCUACAUUGGGAGACUGUAUUAGGCCAAUCACAGGCAUUGUGUAAAUAUGAAUGUAAAUGGCCAGACUUGGUGUUAUGUACUGUUUCAGGUUUGUGUGAUUUUUCCAGUGAAAUACACAAUGUUGAGAGAAUUUGUUGAAUUGACUGUUUGCUAAUAAAAUUCUUGCACUUGAA